rnacentral:rRNA from 1 species
GAUGAACGCUGGCGGCGUGCCUAAUACAUGCAAGUCGAGCGAACAGAUAAGGAGCUUGCUCCUUUGACGUUAGCGGCGGACGGGUGAGUAACACGUGGGUAACCUACCUAUAAGACUGGGAUAACUUCGGGAAACCGGAGCUAAUACCGGAUAAUAUUUCGAACCGCAUGGUUCGAUAGUGAAAGAUGGUUUUGCUAUCACUUAUAGAUGGACCCGCGCCGUAUUAGCUAGUUGGUAAGGUAACGGCUUACCAAGGCGACGAUACGUAGCCGACCUGAGAGGGUGAUCAGCCACACUGGAACUGAGACACGGUCCAGACUCCUACGGGAGGCAGCAGUAGGGAAUAUUCCGCAAUGGGCGCAAGCCUGACGGAGCAACGCCGCGUGAGUGAUGAAGGUCUUCGGAUCGUAAAACUCUGUUAUUAGGGAAGAACAUACGUGUAAGUAACUGUGCACGUGUUGACGGUACCUAAUCAGAAAGCCACGGCUAACUACGUG